GUGGGGAAUCUUCCGCAAUGGGCGAAAGUCUGACGGAGCAACGCCGCGUGAGUGAAGAAGGUUUUCGGAUCGUAAAGCUCUUUCGUUAGGGACGAACGUGCUCUUUGUGAAUAAUGAGGAGUAAUGACGGUACCUAAAUAAGAAGCCACGGCUAACUACGUGCCAGCAGCCGCGGUAAUACGUAGGUGGCAAGCGUUGUCCGGGAUUAUUGGGCGUAAAGCGCGCGCAGGCGGGAUAUCAAGUCUGUCUUAAAAGUGCGAGGCUCAACCUCGUGAGGGGACAGAAACUGGUAUUCUUGAGUGUCGGAGAGGAAAGUGGAAUUCCAAGUGUAGCGGUGAAAUGCGUAGAGAUUUGGAAGAACACCAGUGGCGAAGGCGACUUUCUGGACGAUGUCUGACGCUGAGGCGCGAAAGCUAGGGGAGCGAACGGGAUUAGAAACCCGAGUAGUCC
rnacentral:rRNA from 1 species